GGUUGGGCAAAGUGGCCACUGAGUAAACUUUGUACUUUUUAAAUGGGAGAAAAGUUCCAUUUUAAUGAUGAAUAAACAGCAACAUCAUUCUUCGCUGAGGGAGACCUAAAUAUGAUCAAAAUACAAUAAUGAGGACAAAAAGCAUUAUACUUUUAAUAAUUAUUUUAAAACAUUUUAAGAUAAAAUUUAAACCUUUUUCAAUUUAUUUUCUGUGGCAGUCUAGCUCAGAUGAACUCUUGAAACCAAUAUCAUCCUUUUGCAGUAGUUUAGACAUUCACCAGCAGGUUCCUGAGGAAUAUAGAGUAAUAAUAUCCAAUGGCCACUUUACCCACUCUGGCCACUUUAUCCUACCUU
rnacentral:lncRNA from 1 species